rnacentral:rRNA from 1 species
UGGUUUCGCUGAUUCCUCCUUUCUGAAGAACUGUAAUGUCAUUAAUUUGGUGUUGCAGGGAAACAGGACUGUUACUUUGAAAAAAUUAGAGUGUUUAAAGCAGGCUAACGCUUGAAUACAUUAGCAUGGAAUAAUGAAAUAGGACGUUCAAACCUAUUUUGUUGGUUUCUAGGAUUGACGUAAUGAUUAAUAGGGAUAGUUGGGGGCAUUAGUAUUCAAUUGUCAGAGGUGAAAUUCUUGGAUUUAUUGAAGACUAACUACUGCGAAAGCAUUUGUCAAGGAUGUUUUCAUUAAUCAAGAACGAAAGUUAGGGGAUCGAAGACGAUCAGAUACCGUCGUAGUCUUAACCAUAAACUAUGCCGACUAGGGAUCGGAUGAUGUUAAUUUUUUAAUGACUCAUUCGGCGCUUACG